rnacentral:rRNA from 1 species
UGGGGAAUCUUGCACAAUGGGGGAAACCCUGAUGCAGCGACGCCGCGUGAACGAUGAAGCCCUUCGGGGUGUAAAGUUCUUUCGACAGGCACGAUAAUGACGGUACCUGGAGAAGAAGCUGCGGCUAACUACGUGCCAGCAGCCGCGGUAAUACGUAGGCAGCGAGCGUUGUUCGGAGUUACUGGGCGUAAAGAGUGCGUAGGCGGCGAGCCAAGUUUGGUGUGAAAUCUCCCGGCUUAACCGGGAGGGUGCGCCGAAAACUGGUUGGCUGGAGUAUGGGAGAGGAAAGCGGAAUUCCUGGUGUAGCGGUGAAAUGCGUAGAUAUCAGGAGGAACACCUGCGGUGUAGACAGCUUUCUGGACCAAAACUGACGCUGAGGCACGAAAGCGUGGGUAGCAAACA